UUUUGAUUGACGUUAUUGAAUUAAAUUUGACCUAUCUUAUACACACAUAUUCAUGCUAAAUAUUUUAACUUAUUUUAUUCAUUUGAAAUGGAAUUUCUUCUAAAUAAUUUAAAAUGUAAAUUUAUAGUUAUAUAACUGGAUAUAUUUUUAUUUAAAAGAAGUUGCAGCUGAAAUAGUUUUUUGGUCAGUAUUAGUACGUGUAAGACAGAAGCAGCUUACGUUAUCACUUGGUCUAACAAUAAUGUCCAAUGAUGUAUUUUACUCAUCGAUUUUUUUUGUUUUCAGAUGACAUAAAAUUUAUCGUUACUAAAAUCAUUGGCCCGUAAGAAGCUCUAAUGCUAGACAACCAAGGGUUUUUAAAUGAGAGAGACAUAAAAAUUCGGACUUUUGAAUCACACAAUGAUUGAUAAGCGUUCAUUGGACACUUUUACUUGCCAUUUAAGUAAACACUGUCCACUUUGAUAUUUCUUUGGAAAAUUAUUAAUUGUAUGAAUACUAAACACGGUCUAAAUGGCGUUUUUUCGACUUUAUGUCCUAUGGAUAAUCAUAUUUUGGGUUAUAUAUGAAAUUUAUGCAUCUCAGAAAUCAGUUGAAUUGAAUAAAAGUCUAAUGUGUUUGUGUACUUGUGUCAAAUAUUUUAUUGUUGACGUUGUAUCAAUAAUGAAUUUAUUGCUAACGCAAUUUUGUUUGCCCUAACUGUUAUCGAGUUUACACUUACAGUCGAGGAUUAGCGAGACACAUCAAGUACGAGUGUGGUGUUGAAUGGAAGUUCCCCUGUGGCACGUGCAACAGAC